rnacentral:rRNA from 1 species
UACAGAGGUCUCAAGCGUUGUUCGGAUUCAUUGGGCGUAAAGGGUGCGUAGGUGGCGCCGUAAGUCGGGUGUGAAAUCUCGGAGCUUAACUCCGAAACUGCAUUCGAUACUGCCGUGCUUGAGGACUGGAGAGGAGACUGGAAUUUACGGUGUAGCGGUGAAAUGCGUAGAUAUCGUAAGGAAGACCAGUGGCGAAGGCGGGUCUCGUGGACAGUUCCUGACGCUGAGGCACGAAGGUCAGGGGAGCAAACGGG